GGCGGCAGCGAAGUGCGAUAAGCACUGCGAUUUGCAGAAUUCCGUGAACCAGUAGAAAUCUCAACGCAUACUGCACAAAGGGGAUCUUUCCUCUUUGUACAUACAUAUCAGUGUC
rnacentral:rRNA from 1 species